UACAGAGGUCUCAAGCGUUGUUCGGAUUCAUUGGGCGUAAAGGGUGCGUAGGCGGCGCGGUAAGUCGGGUGUGAAAUCUCGGAGCUUAACUCCGAAACUGCAUUCGAUACUGCCGUGCUUGAGGACUGGAGAGGAGACUGGAAUUUACGGUGUAGCGGUGAAAUGCGUAGAUAUCGUAAGGAAGACCAGUGGCGAAGGCGACUUCCUGGCCUGUUCUUGACGCUGAGGCGCGAAGGCGUGGGGAGCGAACGGG
rnacentral:rRNA from 1 species